rnacentral:misc_RNA from 1 species
AAGUCGUAACAAGGUAUCCGUAGGUGAACCUGCGGAUGGAUCAUUACCAAUUUUAUAUGUUAGUGUUGAGCCUGCACUUUGUGGUGGGUUUCAACUACUACUAUGUAAACGUUGAACUAGAUCAAUUGGUGUGGAUUGCUUGGGAAUGGACGAAGCGAUGAGCCUCUUCCGGACAGGCAAGCCCCACACUGAUAACCUUUUUCAUAUAUCAUUUACUCGUACAUACUACAAACAACAACAACAAAUCUUAUACUAAUAGGACUUAUUAACGGCUGAGUGGGUAACAUCCUCGGCUUAUACAUAUAACUAUUACAACUUUCAGCAAUGGAUCUCUAGGCUCUC